UGUGAUUUCUGCCCAGUGCUC
rnacentral:ncRNA from 2 species